GUAGGGAAUAUUGCGCAAUGGACGAAAGUCUGACGCAGCGACGCCGCGUGAGUGAUGAAGGCCUUAGGGUCGUAAAGCUCUGUUGAAUGGGAAGACAAAAAUGACGGUACCAUUCGAGGAAGGACCGGCUAACUUCGUGCCAGCAGCCGCGGUAAUACGAGGGGUCCUAGCGUUGUUCGGAAUCAUUGGGCGUAAAGGGUGUGUAGGUGGCCAUGUAAGUCAGGUGUGAAAGCCCCGGGCUCAACCCGGGAAGUGCACUUGAUACUGCUUGGGUUGAGUACCGAAGAGGGUAGUGGAAUUCCAGGUGUAGUGGUGAAAUACGUAGAUAUCUGGAGGAACACCGGUGGCGAAGGCGGCUACCUGGUCGAGUACUGACACUGAGACACGAAAGCAUGGGGAUCAAACAGGAUUAGAAACCCCGGUAGUCC
rnacentral:rRNA from 1 species